AUUGAACGCUGGCGGCAUGCUUUACACAUGCAAGUCGAACGGCAGCGCGGGCUUCGGCCUGGCGGCGAGUGGCGCACGGGUGAGUAAUACAUCGGAACGUGCCCCGCAGUGGGGGAUAGCUCGGCGAAAGCCGGAUUAAUACCGCAUACGACCUGCGGGUGAAAGCGGGGGAUCUUCGGACCUCGCGCUAUUGGAGCGGCCGAUGGCCGGUUGGCUAGUUGGUGGGGUAAAGGCCUACCAAGGCGACGAUCUGUAGCUGGUCUGAGUGGACGGCCAGCCACACUGGGACUGAGACACGGCCCAGACUCCUACGGGAGGCAGCAGUGGGGAAUGUUGGACAAUGGGCGAAAGCCUGAUCCAGCAAUGCCGCGUGUGUGAUGAAGGCCUUCGGGUUGUAAAGCACUUUUGGCGGGAACGAAAAGGACUGUGCCAAUACCACGGUUCGAUGACGGUACCCGCAGAAUAAGCACCGGCUAACUACGUG
rnacentral:rRNA from 1 species